UUAAGGGCGCACGGUGGAUGCCUUGGCACUAGAAGCCGAUGAAGGACGUUACUAACGACGAUAUGCUUUGGGGAGCUGUAAGUAAGCUUUGAUCCAGAGAUUUCCGAAUGGGGAAACCCAGCAUGAGUUAUGUCAUGUUAUCGAUAUGUGAAUACAUAGCAUAUCAGAAGGCACACCCGGAGAACUGAAACAUCUUAGUACCCGGAGGAAGAGAAAGAAAAUUCGAUUCCCUUAGUAGCGGCGAGCGAAACGGGAAGAGCCCAAACCAACAAGCUUGCUUGUUGGGGUUGUAGGACACUCUAUACGGAGUUACAAAGGACGACAUUAGACGAAUCAUCUGGAAAGAUGAAUCAAAGAAGGUAAUAAUCCUGUAGUCGAAAAUGUUGUCUCUCUUGAGUGGAUCCUGAGUACGACGGAGCACGUGAAAUUCCGUCGGAAUCUGGGAGGACCAUCUCCUAAGGCUAAAUACUCUCUAGUGACCGAUAGUGAACCAGUACCGUGAGGGAAAGGUGAAAAGCACCCCGGAAGGGGAGUGAAAUAGAACCUGAAACCGUGUGCUUACAAGUAGUCAGAGCCCGUUAAUGGGUGAUGGCGUGCCUUUUGUAGAAUGAACCCGGCGAGUUACGAUUUGAUGCAAGGUUAAGCAGUAAAUGUGGAGCCGUAGCGAAAGCGAGUCUGAAUAGGGCGUUUAGUAUUUGGUCGUAGACCCGAAACCAGGUGAUCUACCCUUGGUCAGGUUGAAGUUCAGGUAACACUGAAUGGAGGACCGAACCGACUUACGUUGAAAAGUGAGCGGAUGAACUGAGGGUAGCGGAGAAAUUCCAAUCGAACCUGGAGAUAGCUGGUUCUCUCCGAAAUAGCUUUAGGGCUAGCCUCAAGUGAUGAUUAUUGGAGGUAGAGCACUGUUUGGACGAGGGGCCCCUCUCGGGUUACCGAAUUCAGACAAACUCCGAAUGCCAAUUAAUUUAACUUGGGAGUCAGAACAUGGGUGAUAAGGUCCGUGUUCGAAAGGGAAACAGCCCAGACCACCAGCUAAGGUCCCAAAAUAUAUGUUAAGUGGAAAAGGAUGUGGCGUUGCCCAGACAACUAGGAUGUUGGCUUAGAAGCAGCCAUCAUUUAAAGAGUGCGUAAUAGCUCACUAGUCGAGUGACACUGCGCCGAAAAUGUACCGGGGCUAAACAUAUUACCGAAGCUGUGGAUUGUCCUUUGGACAAUGGUAGGAGAGCGUUCUAAGGGCGUUGAAGCAUGAUCGUAAGGACAUGUGGAGCGCUUAGAAGUGAGAAUGCCGGUGUGAGUAGCGAAAGACGGGUGAGAAUCCCGUCCACCGAUUGACUAAGGUUUCCAGAGGAAGGCUCGUCCGCUCUGGGUUAGUCGGGUCCUAAGCUGAGGCCGACAGGCGUAGGCGAUGGAUAACAGGUUGAUAUUCCUGUACCACCUAUAAUCGUUUUAAUCGAUGGGGGGACGCAGUAGGAUAGGCGAAGCGUGCGAUUGGAUUGCACGUCUAAGCAGUAAGGCUGAGUAUUAGGCAAAUCCGGUACUCGUUAAGGCUGAGCUGUGAUGGGGAGAAGACAUUGUGUCUUCGAGUCGUUGAUUUCACACUGCCGAGAAAAGCCUCUAGAUAGAAAAUAGGUGCCCGUACCGCAAACCGACACAGGUAGUCAAGAUGAGAAUUCUAAGGUGAGCGAGCGAACUCUCGUUAAGGAACUCGGCAAAAUGACCCCGUAACUUCGGGAGAAGGGGUGCUCUUUAGGGUUAACGCCCAGAAGAGCCGCAGUGAAUAGGCCCAAGCGACUGUUUAUCAAAAACACAGGUCUCUGCUAAACCGUAAGGUGAUGUAUAGGGGCUGACGCCUGCCCGGUGCUGGAAGGUUAAGAGGAGUGGUUAGCUUCUGCGAAGCUACGAAUCGAAGCCCCAGUAAACGGCGGCCGUAACUAUAACGGUCCUAAGGUAGCGAAAUUCCUUGUCGGGUAAGUUCCGACCCGCACGAAAGGCGUAACGAUUUGGGCACUGUCUCAACGAGAGACUCGGUGAAAUCAUAGUACCUGUGAAGAUGCAGGUUACCCGCGACAGGACGGAAAGACCCCGUGGAGCUUUACUGUAGCCUGAUAUUGAAAUUCGGCACAGCUUGUACAGGAUAGGUAGGAGCCUUUGAAACGUGAGCGCUAGCUUACGUGGAGGCGCUGGUGGGAUACUACCCUAGCUGUGUUGGCUUUCUAACCCGCACCACUUAUCGUGGUGGGAGACAGUGUCAGGCGGGCAGUUUGACUGGGGCGGUCGCCUCCUAAAAGGUAACGGAGGCGCUCAAAGGUUCCCUCAGAAUGGUUGGAAAUCAUUCAUAGAGUGUAAAGGCAUAAGGGAGCUUGACUGCGAGACCUACAAGUCGAGCAGGGUCGAAAGACGGACUUAGUGAUCCGGUGGUUCCGCAUGGAAGGGCCAUCGCUCAACGGAUAAAAGCUACCCCGGGGAUAACAGGCUUAUCUCCCCCAAGAGUUCACAUCGACGGGGAGGUUUGGCACCUCGAUGUCGGCUCAUCGCAUCCUGGGGCUGUAGUCGGUCCCAAGGGUUGGGCUGUUCGCCCAUUAAAGCGGUACGCGAGCUGGGUUCAGAACGUCGUGAGACAGUUCGGUCCCUAUCCGUCGUGGGCGUAGGAAAUUUGAGAGGAGCUGUCCUUAGUACGAGAGGACCGGGAUGGACAUACCUCUGGUGUACCAGUUGUCGUGCCAACGGCAUAGCUGGGUAGCUAUGUGUGGACGGGAUAAGUGCUGAAAGCAUCUAAGCAUGAAGCCCCCCUCAAGAUGAGAUUUCCCAACUUCGGUUAUAAGAUCCCUCAAAGAUGAUGAGGUUAAUAGGUUCGAGGUGGAAGCAUGGUGACAUGUGGAGCUGACGAAUACUAAUCGAUCGAAGACUUAAUC
rnacentral:rRNA from 1 species